rnacentral:lncRNA from 1 species
UGGAUUUCUUGUUUUGAUUUUUUUUUAUUCAUUUCUAUUGGACGCCAUCCAAAAAUACUAGAAGAAUGACAUUUAGUCUCUUAGCCACAUUCAAAGGUGUUUAGUGUAAAUUUCUGGGAGUAAGAUCAAUGUCAGAACCAACCAACACAGAUAGUAGCAUUGUGAAUAAGCUGAAAACAUGACACUCGGGGUUUUGAAAAUAUUUUUUCCUGCAACAGAGACAUGUAAUUGCUGUAUGUACAUACUACUCCUUUCUGAUGUCAGUAGCUGUUGCUUUGAGAUGCCAAAAUUUGUCCGCAUUUUCUAGCUGAAAAAUAAAGAAUGGAAACCCAAUGCUGCUUGAUGUGAGUAGGUGCAAUUUGUACUAGAAAAAGCUCGAAGUUAUGAGAUUGGUAGGUAAGGGCCAGGUACUCAUGUUCAGAUGCUCAGCUCCAUGCUAAACAAAAGCUUCAAGUUUUCAAAAAAACAAAACAAAACAAACAACAAUACACCAACAAAAAAAAAAAAAACAGUCUUAUCUAUUUAGGCUAACUCCUAAAAACAAAAUUUUAAACAGCAAAUUUCAGCUUAUUCUUCAAUAUAUGAGAAUUGCUCUGAAGGUAAUGACUCCUAUCUUAUGAUGUUGGCCCACAAUGGAAAAAAAAAAAAAAAAAAAAAAAGGCAUCCACUGACAUUUGCUGAUGCUUACUGAAUGUUUAUGGUGGCCAAACAAUGGUGGUGCGGUGGUGCAUUUUAGCAGUGGCAACAGCAACAUGAAAGAUAAGCCACGUUCCAGUUACAUGGAUUUUCACAAGCACAGCAUCCAGACUCUUGUUCAUUACUGGCAAAAAUGCAUAGCUUACAGUGGUAUCUAUUUUGAGAAAUAGUGUUUUAUAGCUGAGAAUUUUCUCUACUGAAUAGUUUUACUGUGCUCUUUGUAUCUGUUGUAGUUUCCAUGGAAAUAAAUAGGAGGCAUUACUUGUGGAGUGUCCUACGUACAUACACCAUUUAAAUUAGAAAUACAGAAAAAAAAACCAACAGAUAAUUCAGUUUCAGGAUAACCACACUUUGCCAUUGUGGUUAUUACAAUUCAGAAAUAAUUGUGCUUGCUUUUGUCUGCCCCUUCACCCCUUUCAGCUGUGUCUUCUAUGACCACUCAAUUUGAAAAUGCUACAUUCUGGUACAUUAUCUGAGGAACAAAAAUACUUUAUCUGGGCUUACUGCUUUUAUUCAACACCCAGAACAAUCUAUGUCUAUUCCUUUAAGCUCCUUGGGAUGUGAAAAAAUAUGGUUACAUAAAUCUUUGUAAUCCUGAGGGGAGGAUAGCAUAUAAAGAGUUUACUGGCGUUAGGAUUAAGUCUAGUGUAUUACAAUGCAAUCUUUAAUCUGCUAAAAUCUACCUUGGUGUUGCAAGCUGUUUUGUGCUUGUAGAUGAAGUUUUGGAAAUAGGACACAGCUGGCAACACUGAUAGAACACCUUAAAAAAGGAAGAAAAGAAAGAAAAAAGACAAAAUUGGUGAAUCUACUAAUGAACAGAUUUGCCACUGCUCCUUGUACAGUGGACUCUUAUGAGUCUAAAAAAUGACAGAUGAUGGAGGAAAUCCUUGUAACUGAAGCUAGGAAGAAACAGUCACUAAAGUUGAAAACACCGCCAUAGUCACCACAGAAAAUCACAAAUGUGAAGCAAAACCCAUGUAACAUUGCCGUGCAAGCUGCAAGAGUCUUACUUGGUUUUGAGAUUCAUCAAUCCAAAUGAAUGUAACAAAUGAGUCUUAGGUACCUAAGAAAAAUGAAAAAUUCCUCAUGCUGAAAGAGACUUUGUUCUCUUUUGAUAAAUCUGUAUGAAAUGAUAACAUUGUUGCAGUCAUGUGCUACUUCAGAGAAAAAAAAUGGGGAAAAUGGCUAUUUUUAGGCAUUUUUCUAAAGAACACCACAGUUCUACUAUUUGAACUUGUCUAUUCCCAGUCAAACAUUUUCCUGUCAAGCUACACAUGACUUCUGAGUUUAAAGAUUCAAAACCAAUGUAGAUGAGCAAUUAAUGCAUAGGCCUAACUGGGAGAGAGGCUGGGGCACAGGUUUCUAGCUCUGCAGCCUUGGCUAAAGCAUUUUUUGGGCACAGCUAUGUGCUCAGGAAAGAAAACAAAAUAUAAAGAUUUGCUUAAGAGCUACUGUGACCUAUGACAGUUAAAUAUCAGAUUAAAUGAAAAUCUAAUUAGGGCCUUAGGUAUUAAAUACAGUUGACCAAGGGAAGCCAAUUGAUGUUGUCUAUUUUGGAUUUGCGUAAAGCUUCAGAUACUCUUUCUCUCAGUAUCCUUCUGGUCAAAAUGUCCAGCACACAGCUAGACAAAAAAACAUAAAGCAAUGGAUGAGCAACUGGCUGAUGGUAUGGGUUGAAGAGUUAUGUAUAAUAAGCUACAGUAAAUGGGUUUACAUCAGGCUAGCCAGCCACUAGUGGGGUUCCUCAGGGCUCCAUUAUAGGGCCACUUCGCUUUAAUGUUUCCAUAAAUGACUUGGAUGUAGGACUAGAAGGUGUUUUGAGCAAGUUUGCUGGUGACACUAAAUUGAGAGGAGCUGCUCACUCCAUCACAGGUGGCAAGGCCUUGCAGAGAGGUCUAGACAAAUGAGAGAGCUGUGCAGCCACCAACUGCAUGAAGAGCAAGUGCCAGAUUCUGCACUUGGGAAGGGGCAAACCUGGCUAUACAUACAAACUGGGGGAUGAGAUGGUGAAGAGCAGACCAGCUGAAAUCUGUUCUGGUCAUGGUUGACAGCAAGUUUAGCAUCAGUCAGCAGUGUGCCCAGGUGGACAGGAAGGCCAAUUGUAUCCUGGGAUGCAUCAAGCAUGGUCAAGGGAAUGGAUUGCCCCACUCUACAUGGCCCUGGUGCAGCCUCACCUUGAAUACUGGGUGCAGUUUGAGGCACUACACCACAAAAAGGACAUAAAACUAAUAAAAAGUACCCAAAGGAGGGCUAAAAAUAUGGUGACAAGUCUAGAUGGGAAGAGAUAUGAGGAGCAGCUGAAGUCCCCCGGUUUGUUCAGCCCAGAGUAGAGAAUGAGGAGAAACCUCAUUGCAGCCUAUUGCUUCCUCACAAGGGGGAAUGGAAGAGCAGGUGCUAAUCUCUGCUCUCUGGUGACAGGAACAGGACCAGAGGGAGUAGCACGGAGCUACAUCAGGGAAAGGUCAGAUUGAUUGUCAAGAAAAUGUUCUUCAACAAGAGGUUAACAGGCACUGGAAAAGGCUCCCCAUGGAAGUGUAAUGACAUUGAGUUUGCCAGAGUUCAGUAAGCAUCUGGAAAAUGCUCUCAGUCCUAUGAUCUGAUUUUUGGGUAGUCCUCUGUGAAUCCAGGGGUUGGACUCAAUGAUCAUUAUGGGUCUCUUCCAACUUGGGAUAUUCUGUGAUUCUAUACUGUAUCUGAAAAAAGAGAGUUCAUGUGGGCCUUUUCCAUAGCUGAGAGCCCUAUAGGAACCUCACAUAGUGCAUCAAAAAAUAAAUAAUUAAGGUUUUCCCUUAAGCUCUUAAGUGAUAUUCAAAUUCUGAAACUGAAAACUACUGUUUCGAACAAUUCAAAGUCUGAACAAAUUAUUAGACAUCAGCAUAAAAUUCUGUACUUUCCUGGAAUGCUGCCAGGGUGUUGAGUUUUUUUUUUACUUUUUGUUUUGUUUAAUGGAGAUGCAUAUUUUUCUACAGCUAGGGUUGUUCCAUCUGCCCUUGUCAAGCUUCAAAUAUACUAGAGCUCGUUAGAGCUAAAUAUAAGCCUUAAUACACAGACUUAUGUUUAUCUUAUAAAAUUAUGCAAAUUAUCCUGCACAUAAACUGAUAUUUAUCAGUAUUUCUGUUAGAUAAGUUAAGCUUUAAGCAAAAUAGUUCCAGUCUUAGAAGGAAGCUUUAGCAGAAAGGAGUCGUGAGACUUCAGAAUCUACAAGAUUGUAAAGUAGUAGCUUUUCCUUCUUAUUUACUAGUUUGCAUUUCCAAAGCACUACACAAUCGUGAACAAAUUAAUCUAAGGCAUUACAGUGAAUUUUACAGAUAAGGACAUUAAAAGCCUUUAGCAAAUGUUUAAUUGAAAUAACUGCCAUACGUUAAUUCCAAGAAACUUGUUUCAGUAUCAGAAAGAUUUAGCAAACAUCUAGUGAGAGUGAACUCAAUAUGCCCCAGUGCAGAGAAUCUCACAUGCACUACUCUUCUCCCUCAGCUAGAAAGAACUGCUUUGAAAUGACAUCUUAAGAGUAAAUGAGGAGCACACUAAGAAUGGAAAGAAAUUAAUAAUACACAAGCCUAUGGAAUAGACAGAGCAUGUGCAGAAACCAUAUUCUUUAUGGCUGCCCCUUAGGCAACAGCACAGCUUUGCAUGGAGAAAAAGCUUUCACUUCGUCCUCACAGUAGUUCUGAAUCUAACUUCCAAAUCAAAGGAUUUGUACUCCUUUAAGCAAGAGUGACUGUCACCCCCUCCAGAAUGGUAAGUUAAUUCUAAUCACUCAGUAAAAUCUGGCAGAGGAUAGCCUGUGGUGAACUCAAAGGUUUUCUCACAGAACUGUGUUUUAAUGUAAAGCAUCACCGCUUCUGCAUUCUGUCAUCUGCCAAUGGGAAUCCAAUUGCUUCAGGAUCCCUACUAAACACCACUGUCAUAAAAUAAACUUUUAUAUUAAACUUCUGUUCCUGUGCAGUCAUUUUUGUACAAAGUGUCUGGCAUUUAACCAAUUGGUCUUUUCCUGGGUAAAGGUCAUAGAGAAAGAAGGAGGAUGUGAUCCUUCACAUCCAAUUAUCCACAUCUCGAGACAUGUUAUACUGGAAGAUUUUUGCCACAUCUCAUCUAUUAGGAUAACCCUUUCCCUAGCACAAUACAAAACUGUUGUGUUUCUGGAACUGAUAUCCAAUAGUGAUUUCAGUAGAGAAGAGUUGAUGGAAAAAAAAUUAAAUCUACUAGGAAAAAUAGGUCUUCACAUUUCACAAUAACAUGCAUAUUGCUUAUUAGCAGGCAUUUAGGUCAUAUAUGCACAGAGAGUCUAGCAGUCCAGCCGUGUGACUAUCCAGCCAGAAGCACACCAUCAGUUGGGUGGGCAGACACAAGAACGCUUGCACAUCCUCUGUCAGCCUGGUUUGUUUCCAUAGAUGACUUUUUAAGAAAUGUCUCUUAACUGAUACUUUUGGCUUCCUAUGCAUGACAAGGUUAUGUUUGAUAAGUGCAUAAAUACACUACGGUAUUUUAGAUUUCUUGCUUACCCAGUUUUGGGGGACAAAAGAUCUUUGAGUAAAAAAGAAUCUGGGAUAUUUUGAGAAUAUUCUCCAAGGGGGAGAAAAAGGAAGGCAGGUGGCAGAGUGAGAGCUAGAAAGGAGAGAGCAGAAGGGUGAAUAAUAUUAUAUUACUAAUGAAUGAUGGCCUGCUGGUGUGAACUUGAAGUGUUUUAAGAUCCACCCCAUCAAAGCUGAGAUUACCUGAAAAAUAUUUUCCUGAAUCUCUAAAAUAUUCUCAAAGUUUUGUAUUUGCCUCUCAUUCUUCAGGGUAACAUCCUCAAUUUUGGAUUAAAAGUAAAGUAUUUAAUCCUGGAACUGUUGUUUAUUCAGGCAACAAGCUGAAUUUCAGUCUUAUAUUGGUUCUUCUUAAAUAAACAUAGAUGUAUACCUGGAAUACUGAAGAUAUAUCUUGCAAAACAAUGAAUGAUAAUAAACAAUGAUAUGCUAUGAUGAUAAACAGUGAAACUGCUUAGAUAGUAAAUAGGUGGCAUUCCUAAAAGAAGUAAAGCUAGACAUGGACCAGCUUUUGCUUCUUCCUAUAUAUCUGCCCUUAAUAUUUGUGGACUUUUUGUUAUACGUGAAUUUAAUGAGUGUCAUUCUGCACAUUUACUAAGUAAGGCAACAGGCACUGUGCAUAUUGGUCUGUGCUCAGAUAAAAUUUCAGUUAAAACAUAUAUAUGAAUAACCAAAUAUACUCACUACAAGAGCACAUUAAAAAAUGGAAAACAAAAAAACACUCUGUUGAAUACUGUCUGGCUCUGUUUUGUGAAGGCCUUCCCAAAUCCUCUCCUAUCUUCACAAAAUCAGGAUAGCAUAUUCUCUUAUGUCUUAGCAAAAUAAAAAUGAUACCUGGCAUUUCAUCUGCUUAGUUGGCUCUGCUGUUAAGGGAUUUAAUUCCUCUCAGCAGAUAUACAAAUGAGAACAUUUGUCUUAGUCCUAGAGACAGAAUCAUUUAUGUUACACUGCUUCGCAUUAUGUUAAUAAUUUCUAUCCUAAGUGAAGUCACAGGAAGUGUUUGUCACUAUCUCCAAUGGGACUCAAAUUUAUUUGAUGUAUGUUUAGUAUAUAUAAAGUUCAGUCAUUUCACUAGAGUUCUUAAAUUCAUAAUGGAUAACAUUUUUCUCCAAUGCUUUUUUGAAAGGAGGAAAAAAAUUGCAUGCGUGCAUAUUCAUAAAAUACUACCACAGAAGAAUUAGAAUUGUGUACAAUUUGAAAGAGUGCUGAAUUACAGGUGGGGUUAAAACAACUUCACAUUAGUGAAAUAUCGUAUGGUGGCUUUCAUUAUUGAUUCUCUGUCAACAUCACGUUAGUUCUUUUCUAAAUCAGUUCUGUGGCUUGAACUUGAAAAGACCAUGAUGCGGAGUCCACAGGUUCAUUCUAAUUGCUCCUUUUCCUGGUAGACUCCACUGUGCCAGCCUGUCACUCAUCAAGACCAUUUGUCUGUGAACAGACUUAAUUAAGCACCUCAAAUCCAAUUUCUUUGAUCUUUUACACUAUUAAGGAAACACACUCAGUCCAUCAGCUAUGGAGAGUUUUCUAAAGAAAAACCUCCUGAAAACACCCACUGGUGUUAUUCUCCUCUGUUGAAAUAGAAAGUUCAAAAACAAGCAGGUGAAUUAGGAAGGGAAAAUAAAAUAAUUGGAGAGACAACAAAAAAAUUGUUAAAUCCUAAAUAUUCAGAAGAUUUAAGGAGUGAUUUACAGCACUUAUCAACUCUUGCACUUUUUUUCUCUCUCAAGAGAGAAAAAUAUCCAGUAGAGACUUGAUUUAAAUAUAAAUGUUUAGUUACCCUCCUUUCAGAAUUUAGCAGGCAAUUGCAUUUGUUUUUGUGAAAGAGGUAUGCACUUUCAGCAUCCUUUCUCACUGCUCAAAUAUCCAGCACAUUGAUAGAAAUGAUCAGGUGGAAACGCUUUAAAAAUAAAUAACCAGAGUUUCAUGAAAAUAAUUCAAGAGCUGCUUUUGGGCUUUUUUAUUAACAUUCUUGCCAUUUACACUGUAUUGACUUAAUUAUUUUCAGAUAAUAUUUACCUGUGUCUACUCUUAUAAUUGCAUCUUAUGCAAAACUGUUUGCAUUCAUAAAAAGAUCUUAUCUCGCAGCUUUGUGACAGAGAUUAUUCUGCACUCAAUGGCUACUCACUGCACCAUCAACCAGAAACCAAAUUCAUAAUAUAGAUUGUUGUGAGUAAUAACUUUUAAGGAUUUUUUAAUAAUUAAUUUAUUAAUAAUGAUUUCAUUCCACACUGGGAAAUAAGUUAUUUGUAUUUUAGAAAAUACUGCUGCUAAAGGUGUUUUUCUGAAAGAAGAUCACUAGCUAUAGUUCAUUCUAUUGUUGUCAGGUAUUUUUCAUGCCUUGUUAGCUAAUUUCCUCUUCUUACUGUCAGUUAAAUAUUUUCCAGAAUUUCAUGGUUAUGGAAUGGAGAUCAGACUUCUGCAGCCAUAUCUGAAGAGCAGCUCCUGUGUGACAAACACUUAACUGGUUAAAGAGUGUUUUACAACUCUACGUAAGGCUGAAUUAACCAGAUAAAUAUUCAGGCCUAAACAUGGUCAUGGUACAAAGUUGAUUUGAAACAGAUAAAAAUUGCUAAUUCGAGCUUUGUGAAAACUUUACACAUAUAUUUGUAUAUAAAAUAUUUAGUUCUCUCUUUAGUUUGAGACUAUUUCUUCUAUUAACAAUUCAUUAUGGUCUAUGUAACAACAUACGUAAAUGAAGUAGAAAUGUCUUCAGUGACUACUGGGAUUGCUCAGUCUGGAGAAGAGGCUCAGAGGAGACCUUAUUGCUCUCUAUAGCUACCUGAAGGGAGGAUGUCGUGAGCUGGAGGUCGGCCUCUUCUCUCAUGUAACUAGUGAUAGGACUAGAGGGAAUGGCCUCAAGUUACUCCAGGGAAGAGUCUGGCGGGACAUUAGGAAAUACUACUUUUCUGAAAGAGUCAUCAGGUGCUGGAAUGGGCUGCCACCCAGAGAGAUGGCGGAGUCACCAGCCCCGGAGGUGUUCAAGGAAUGUUUAGACGCUGUGUUGAGGGACAUAGUUUAGUGAGAACUAUUGGUGAUAGGUGGACAGUUGGACUGGAUGAUCUUGUAGGUCUUUUCCAAUCUUAGCGAUUCUAUGAUUCCAUACUUCAUUGUAUACUACGAUUAUAACUAUCCUCAGACAAAAAAAAAUUAUGUGGCAAAUGUAGUACAUUUCCUAUGUUCCUUUUAGAAGCACUUUUUUGUCCUUCAGAAAACAAAAAUCAGAUUUAUUUUAGAGUUUACUUUUCUUAAAUUCCUAUCAGAUAAGACAGAUAUUUAUGCUAGAAAGUAGUAUAGAGUUUAUUUAAUUACUUUUCCAGUUUCUAUUCUCUAUUCUAUUUCAGUUCUCUCUCAGAAUAUAAGGUACAUUUGGAAGUUUGAAGAACUGUAGGACAAAACUUAUGAUGAAAGCUGAAAACUGGCAUUAGAUUUUAUUAAAUAAAUCAUCACUGCAAGAAGGUAGAAAUAAUCCUGAGCAAUGCUGUAAAUUCCACGUAGUCUCAAUUUGUUCUCACUUCAUUUUGCAGUAGUAUUCACAUGUGCUAGCUCAUAAGAGUUGAUAUCACUGUUAGUUAUUGCUGUGCUUUCUUCUAAUUACCACCAAAUUGUGACCACAGCAAACUACAUAUGUUUUUUAAAAUAUCACUCUUUUAGUUCUUCAUCCUUGAUGCAAACAUGAUGAGAAAUGUAUCUAUGCUUAUUAGGUGUCUUACAGCAAGGCAAAGUUACCCAUAUUAAGUCUCAGGAGAUAGGACUUUCUUCUGACCCAGAUAUUUACAAAACUGGAAGUCAAAGUACAGCAACAUGAGCAAUUGGACAAGUCAUCAGUAAGAGCUAAUGAGAAACUGUGUAAAAUGACAUAAUUCUAUUGGAUACUGAGAUGGUAUCAUUAGUAUGUAUUAAAAGACUCAGAGAGGGUUAAAUUAAGAAAUGAUGUGCCACUUUUCAUUAUCCCAAGGAAGUCCUGUAUACAGUAUAUCAUUAGAAACUAUUUACUGAAGCAAAAUAUCAAGCACACAUUGUGUAUCUCUUGAAUCAAGAUGUCAUAAAUAAAUAUUUUCAAGACAAAAUAAGCAAACUUGCACUUCAGUAGGCCAUGAAUCUGACCUCUUUAUCAUGUACUUCAAAAUAAAAUCACUGACUUCUUUUUUUUAACAGCCUUUGCUCACCAUCCACUAGAAUUUUCUGACAAAAAUCACCACAAGGGCUCUGAGUUAAGGCGGGCUGAGCUAGCUGACACAACCAACUCUGAUUUCCAUUCAGUAUUCAGCUAGUUCCAGUCACCAAAGGGUCUUAAAUUAAGGUAACAUGAGAUAAGAGGGAAGAUCCUCACUGGGAUAACUAACUAAGAGAUUGGAAACAAAGAGCUUCAAUAAAUGGUCAAUUUUCUCAGUGAAUAGAAGGCACCAGUGGUAUCCCACAGGGAUCUUCACUGGGGCCAAAGCUGCUCGACAUGCUCGGGGCUGAUCAGGAGAACAGAAUGGAGAGCAGAUUAAGUUUGCUGUUGCUACCAAGUUUUCAUGGUAAGAAAAACAGAAACUGACUGCUAAAAAGAGAGUUGAAGAAAGACUCUGUGGCACUGAGUGAUUGGGGAUAAAAUGGCAGACGACAUUCAGACUACACAAAUGUAAAGUAAUGAACUUGGCAAAAAACAGCUCAUGCUGUGCCCAGUGAUUGAUUCUGAAUUCACUGCUACAUCAGACAAAAUAACAGCCUUAUGAAAAUAUCAGUUCAGUAGCUCAGGAAUCAUUAUCAGAGGAAAAUCUCAGAAAAUGUAAUGUUUUUGUGCAAAGUCAAUGCUAUGAUCAUAUCUUGAUUGUUAUGUAUAAUUCUGGUCCUUUCAUCUAGAAAAAGCACAGAGUAGAAUUUGAAAAAAAGGUGGACAAAGAUGAUCAAAGGUAACCAAAUAACUCACACAGAAGGGUGAUCUGUAAGAGCUGGGGCUCUCAAUCUAGAAAAGAGCCAACACAGAAGCACGUAAAAAUCACAGCAGACAAAUAGGAGAAUAAGGGAUAAACGAGCUGCCUCUUGCAUUGCAACAGGAAAGCCUCAGCUGGAAAUGAGCAUGUGGAAGUUCAACAUCAAAAACCAGACUGUGCACAGCUCAGUCAAACCUCUCUAAGCCUUGGCCAGUGAACAUCACUGAGUUGUGAAGAUUAUUCAUUUUAAAGAUCAAAGUGAACAAUUGCUUGAAGAAGCUCCAACUAAGUCCAUUAACAUUCCUUUUCCUGGGAAUCUCUUUUUGUACAAAGCUCAAAAUCCAGCCAAAAUCAUCAUGCAUUCAAGUGAUCAAUGAAUGAGCACUACAUACGGCAAUGAGGUAAAUGUUUGGGAAUGACAAAAACUAGGUAAGUAAGAAAAGGUACACUGCUCUCCUAUUAGCACAUUUCACAUUAGAGAAGGAUUCCAAGCAGCUUAAAAACAGAAAAUUAUGCCACAAUUUUGCAGAAUAAGAAAAAAUCACUGCAUUGCUAAGAGAAGUUUAAGUGUUGCAUGCAAAUCUUCACGACAAUUGAUUCGCAAUGAAGUUUAUAUUCAUUUCAUGAUCAUUUGCCACUUGAUUACAUGGAGUUAACUCACAGAGGAACUGCCUUUCCAAAGUUUCCCAGUCAAACUUGUAAUUAAUACUCCCCUCAUUUUGACUGAACUAUUUUGCUUUUUAAGAUGUAACUGUAGAUUUACAUCAGUGAGAGAAGAAGUGUCCAUAAAUAACCCAAAGGAGGACUUCUGAUUCAGGAAAUGGGAAGUAAAAUUCAGGAAGUGAUACCUUUUCCUCAUUGCUGCCGUAUAGACUUGAGGAAAACUCUAGCAUUACAACAGAGUUCCAAAGGGCAAAGAAGACUUGACCACAGGACUGCUUGAUUAUAGCAGAGAACACAUGCAGUAUGAGCUUUGGACAAGUAAGAGAUACUGCUUAUGCAUCUGCUGCCCAGAAAAAUUUACAGCACAAAUGUUGUAUGAAUCAGUGUGAUAGCUGCUGUCAGCUACAAAUAUCAUCUACAUAUUACGCACCUACCACAUGCAAAAUACUCCCACAAUGAUCUUAUUAAAGAGGCUGUGCCAUACAUCAAAAUAAUGUUAUACCUACAGCAGCCUGUAGGUUCUAAAAUAUGCCCUUCCUGCUUAUUUUGUACACAGCGAAAAAUGACACACUUGUGAGUAAACUUGCUCAUUAAUUCUGACAGAUAAUUCUGAAUACACAGUUGAAACCUCAACUUAAGUAUCUGAAAGAUGUAGAAAUAGAAGUGUUCCAAAUGUUAGUGAAAAAGAAGGAGUAAGAGGUAGAGGAACAGAGAUGACAACAUAAUUAUUUGAGCUGUGCAGAAUUUUAGAUGGGUAAUAAUUAACUGAGUGGUGAAUGGCUCAGAUAAGAGAGAGAAAAAUCUCACAACCUUUUUUUGAGUAGUGUCUGAAAAUAUCUGGAUCCAAAACAGAAGACUGUUUUGCAACAAUCACUCCUGAGUUUCCCUCUUCCACCAGCUUUUCCCAUCUACCUCAUUGUCUAAAAAGCAAAAGAUACUCUGGACACAACCAUGUAAGAACUGAGGAAUAGUCUGUGCUCAUUCACAGCCUUAAGGAGAUCAGUGUUCAUUGAGAUGGGAGGAAAAGAGAAUCUCCAGAGUUUUGUCUCAAAAAGGCCCAACAAACUGCAGAGCUGUGUGUCUGUGGCUGAGGUCCAGCCAGCCUCAGUGCCUCCGAGCAGCACAGGUGGGAGUUCCUCCACAUUUGAAGCUGUGGUCCCAUGUGCAAUGGCCCAGCUUCCCAGCAGGGCUGCUGCCCUUGGAACACCAACCAGCAGUAGGAGAAGCCUCACUGCCUCUCCAUUCCUUACUCAGAGCUAAGGAUGUCCAAGUCUGAGGCUGAAAGGGGGAAGCAGCAGUCCCAGUCCUGCCAAGCAUGAAGAUACAGGGCCCAGAAGAGAUGUCAGCACAACGCAUUGUCAAGGAGAUGAGUUUUAUCUUGCAUGUCAGAAACCAGCUGUGAUUACUCCAGGUGCUGUGAUCUGACAGAAUCAAAGCAUUUCCUAGAACAGCUUUGUGCCAUGAGCUGAAGCUGCUUCUCAGGAAUCAAGUAGAUUCCCCUCCUCCACUGUCCCUUUGCUAUAUAAAACCUGUGCAUAAUCCACUCUUUCCCAUAUUUUUCAUGCAAAGCCAUUUACAUUAUUUGUUGAAAGGCCAGGCAAACACAUACAGCAUGCAAUUCAGUACAGUAAAUGUGAAAACAUUUGCCAUUAAUUAUUGUAACCCCCAAUAAUUGUGAUCCCCGUGCGAAAAGGUAAAGAUAAACCAUUACCUACAAAGAAUAUUUCAUUUUCUAUGUAAGGAGGUGGCAGUGGAAGCUUGCUAGCAAUAAGUAGCCAGGACAGUAAUCUGAAAGUUUAUAUAUGUAGCUAGUGCUCCAGCCAGCAGAUAAUGCAGGCAAUUAGUGCUACUGUUAAUGUGCCUGCAUGCCUCAUUUCUGGAGAUGCAUGCUGAGCGCUCUCCUCUUAAGGUGGCUUCAGCAAGUGGUCCCUAUUUAACAGACACAGCUGUAUGCAAGGAAAGCAGAUCUUUCAGGAGGACAAGCCACAGUUUUAACUUGUUCUUGGUGUCAGAGCAGCAAUUGCAGUGAAAUGGAAGGAAAAAAACUAAACAAGUAUACAUCUACUAUAGACAGAUGGCUAAUAAAAAUUUGGGGAGCUCUUUCAAUACAGAAAUUGAGUAGUUUAAAAAGACACCUACAUAACAAAUGCUUGGACAUGUUGUCUCCUUUUAUAGAACACAAACAUUUGCCCUUUAACUCAGCAGCUCAACUAUUUGUUCCUUUGCUACUUAUUCUAUGCAAAGCUUCAAAACAGGCAUACAGCCAAUAUUUAACCUUUACUAUAUAACGUAAUGAACCCACCCAAACAAUAGGUGCAGCAAAUAUUAACAACUAAAGUGCCAUACUCAACUACAGCAAUGAAUUUUUAUGGUGAAGAUCCUGGAUUUCUGCCCUAUCAUGCCAGGUGUAGAGUAGUCCCUAUGAAUUAGCAGGUUGCAAUAACCCGUAAAUACGCAUCUCAGCCCGCUGAGGUUUAUGCACGCCUGCAAACAUCUGCUUUUGUUUUGUACUUCCAUCUGAAGACAAGAACAAAUAUUUCUAUUUCCUCUCAAAUGUUGACAGGUGAAUCAGUGUUUCAACAUUAAAGUAGGUCAGCCCACGUUGCAUUAUUCAGUGUAGCAGCAUGACACUUCUCAAUGAUAAAAUAUUGUCUAAUACUAAUUUGAAGUGAUACAAGCAUAUAUCUGCUUUCUGCAGAAGAAAAGUUGCUUUAAUUUGAAAUUGUCCCUCCUCCGUCUGGAAGGAAAACGUGAAGGAUUACAAAUCAAUUCUUAUUGCCUGCCUAUCCUCCUCAUCCUAGUCUAUAGCUGUGCAAGCCCACAAUUUGAGGACAAGCAAAUGUCUGCUCUGAGGAAGUACAAGUGACAGCUGAUGUACAGGGGUAGCAGCAGCUCCAAAAAAAGAAUUAAAGCUACCUCACAUGCAACAAACUUCUGGGAAUCUCCCCCAACCAUUUACAGAGUCACAAUCACAGCAUUUUCUAUUCCCUAAAGUGAUUUCUCUCCCCUCUCACAUUCUUUUCUGCAUAAUCUAGGGAAUUAUUCAUGAAUUAGGAAAAUCACUGUUUGUACACAAUUUCAAACUUUAUAUUAUGGCAUAGUCAGUCUAAAAUGUCACUUGUUGUGGCACUGUAGAAAAUAGACUCAAUAUGUGUUCAUUUAUCUUUAUGUUCAAGUAGAUACAUGAGGGCUGCUCUGAAAGCAUUGCAUUCCAUUUUAUGCUGUUUGCCCAUAAUAUCAGGGGCAGAUAUUGGUGGGAUGGGAGUAGAGGCUAAACCUUUCCACCAAUAUUCCAUUACAUUGUGUUGCUAUGUGACAGAUGGCAGCAGAGGGGCAAUCUGACAGAAUGGUGUCUGAUAUGGAAGAGCAUAUGGAUUAAAGGGGUGAUCAGGAGUGAAUGCCCCCCUGCAGAUAAAAUGGCACCCAAUGACAUUCGCCGAUGCUUGCUGAAUGGUUAUUGGGACCAAAUAGUGAACGUGAACAAAGUGAGGCAGUGGGUGGUGUGUUUCUGCAGUGAUGACACCAAUGUGAAAGACAAACCACGUUCCAUGCACAGCUGUCACACCAUGAAAUGAAGAGCAUUUCAGUCAGCUCAUCCACAUAAAUUUGUGGAUUAUGAUGAUGGAACUGUGUAUGGAGCUGAAUAUCAGCUCCAAUACAUUGGAAACUAUAGUGGAAACAUUGGAAUAUCGCAAAGUUUACACCAGGUGGGUCCUCCAAAUGCUCACAGAGGAUUAGAAAGAACACUGUAUGCAAGUUUGUCAAAACCUAUUGAACCAAUAUGAAGUAAAGGUUACAGUUUCCUGGAUCACAUCAUUACUGGUGAUGAGACCUGGUAUCAGCACUACAAGCCAGAGUCAAAACAGCACGCCCACAGAGUGGUGAUAUGUGACUUCACCAUCAAAGAAAAACUGCAGGAUGCAGCCCCUCAGUACAUAAAUUGAUGUGCACUGUUUUUGGGGAUAAGAAAGAGAUGAUCCUUCUGGAUUUCCUGGAAUUCAGACAAACCACCAACUCCAGCCACUAUGUUCUGAUGCUGACUAAGCUGAAGGCUCAAACUUCCAGAGGUAGGCCAGAGAACAAGACAAUCUUUCUUUCACAACAAGGUAAUGCCAGGCCCCAUUCCAGUUUGAACAACAUGGAGCACAUUGCCAAUCUUGGCUGGACCUACCACACCUACCAUAUUUGGUGCCUUCUAAAUUCCAUCUGUUUGGGCCAAUGAAAGGUGGACUGUGUGGGCAACAUUUUUCUAGCAGUGACACCAUCAUAGCAGCUGUGAAACAGUGGGUCACCUUCACUGGUCCAGAUUUCUACGUAUGUGGCAUGCAGGUUCUUGUUCAUCACUGGUGAAAAUGCAAAGCUAAUGGUAGUGACUGUUGAAAAAUAGUGCUUUGUAGCUGAGAAUUUGCUCUAUCAAAUAGUCAUUGUGUUCUUCAUAUCAGUUGUAGUUUCCAUGGAAAUAAAUAGGAAACAUUAUUUUUGGAGCAACCUAUGCACUAAAAAAAUAUACCUGAAAAUAUCCUUCAAAAUGAAACAGCCUAUGAUCAUAGUUGCAGCUGAUGAGAUGGAAGAAAAAUCCUAGAACCUGUUACUGUAAUAUUAGCAGAGAUAGUAGAUGUGGAUUUAUCCAAGGGUAGAGAUGUAAAAGUUAAGUCUUUCUCUAACAAUAAUGCCUCCUCCCCAUUAGCAGUAUACUCCUCUACAUCAGUUUUAUUUGCUUCUGGCCCUUACCAGAUACAACAGCAGACACUUCAGCUCUUCUCCAACACACAUCAUAAAACCUCUAAAAAGAUGAAGGGAUAAGAACUGGAUGGAGAGAAGGGGGCUAUGCUAAACAUACAACACUGGUUAACUCCCCAUAGAAAUCCAUGCUGAUGUAAACUGAUGUUAUUCUAUAAAAAUUAAAAUAACUGUU